GGUGCCACUGAUUGUAAUACAAUGAACACCACUAGCUUUGCUAGCUUACUUCCAAACAAAGAAGUAGAGCUAAAAAAAAAUUCAGAGCAACAAUAUUCAAUGGCUUGUACUUAUAUUUUUAAUCUGUACUUGCAGUGAGAAGAUGAGACCGACUUGAAAAGAACGGAACCCGAGUUCUGAGAGCUUCUCAAAGUCAAUCCACGAAGCUGAUUGUGGUUGAUGCUGUUUAUUUUUUAAAAUCGAGAGUGUUAGGUUUAAUCCUCUAAAGUAUCUGUACUGAGAGCGUUGGCCCAGGAGACCAGAUCUUCCACUUCUUCUUCCCAUGACAUAUUUGAGUGUUCAUACUCUGGUGGUGACAUUUCAGUCUCCCACUCCUUUACUUCUUCGAAAAUCUUUGCAACAAUAUCUGUUUCCAUUUGUGACUCAGGAGAAACUUCCUCUAUGGUGUGAAAUAUGAGAAACAGAAACUUAAUAGACAUGGAGGAAAAACGGGAAAAAGAGAAGUGCUCAUGGUUUUUGAGAUUUGUAUAGUGCUUUGUUGCAUAACGCUCUAAGAUCACCUGGAAUGAAGACAAACAACCUUUUCAAAUUUUCUAAAUUUCAUAUUUUGCAAUUAAUUUUAUUCAUCAUAACUCAUUUUUUCCAUUUUGCUCAGUCUUUUUAUGUUUUGUUAGUUCAUUCAUUCAACAUACUGAGUCCCUGCCAAGUAUAACAGAAACACAGUGUAUAUGAAAGGGAAAGGUGUUCAUGAGCUAAUAGGGAAGAAAGUGCUACAGGAGCCCAAGGAGGGAAUCUCUGACUAUGUCUGGAAAUAACAGGAGAACUUCCUGGAAAAAGUGAAAACAGACUUGGACUUUGAAACAUGAGGAGCAAUUUGCUAAACAGAGAAGAGCAAAGAAGGGAGUUACAAACACUUUUGAUGGAAGAAACAGCACUAAAGAGAACCCAGGCUAAGACAACCUCCUAAAUCCCAUGUGAGUUUUUCUCAUUGGCAAACUAUAACCCUCUCUGAACAAGCGAAGACAAAAGUCAUAAUUGGACAUCUUUGUCUACUCCAGG